rnacentral:rRNA from 1 species
GGGUUGUGAGGUUAAGCGACUAAGCGUACACGGUGGAUGCCCUGGCAGUCAGAGGCGAUGAAGGACGUGCUAAUCUGCGAUAAGCGUCGGUGAGGUGAUAUGAACCGUUAUAACCGGCGAUUUCCGAAUGGGGAAACCCAGUGUGAUUCGACACACUAUCAUUAACUGAAUCCAUAGGUUAAUGAGGCGAACCGGGGGAACUGAAACAUCUAAGUACCCCGAGGAAAAGAAAUCAACCGAGAUUCCCCCAGUAGCGGCGAGCGAACGGGGAGGAGCCCAGAGCCUGAAUCAGUGUGUGUGUUAGUGGAAGCGUCUGGAAAGGCGCGCGAUACAGGGUGACAGCCCCGUACACAAAAAUGCACAUAUUGUGAGCUCGAUGAGUAGGGCGGGACACGUGGUAUCCUGUCUGAAUAUGGGGGGACCAUCCUCCAAGGCUAAAUACUCCUGACUGACCGAUAGUGAACCAGUACCGUGAGGGAAAGGCGAAAAGAACCCCGGCGAGGGGAGUGAAAAAGAACCUGAAACCGUGUACGUACAAGCAGUGGGAGCCUCUUAAUGGGGUGACUGCGUACCUUUUGUAUAAUGGGUCAGCGACUUAUAUUCUGUAGCAAGGUUAACCGAAUAGGGGAGCCGAAGGGAAACCGAGUCUUAACUGGGCGUUAAGUUGCAGGGUAUAGACCCGAAACCCGGUGAUCUAGCCAUGGGCAGGUUGAAGGUUGGGUAACACUAACUGGAGGACCGAACCGACUAAUGUUGAAAAAUUAGCGGAUGACUUGUGGCUGGGGGUGAAAGGCCAAUCAAACCGGGAGAUAGCUGGUUCUCCCCGAAAGCUAUUUAGGUAGCGCCUCGUGAAUUCAUCUCCGGGGGUAGAGCACUGUUUCGGCAAGGGGGUCAUCCCGACUUACCAACCCGAUGCAAACUGCGAAUACCGGAGAAUGUUAUCACGGGAGACACACGGCGGGUGCUAACGUCCGUCGUGAAGAGGGAAACAACCCAGACCGCCAGCUAAGGUCCCAAAGUCAUGGUUAAGUGGGAAACGAUGUGGGAAGGCCCAGACAGCCAGGAUGUUGGCUUAGAAGCAGCCAUCAUUUAAAGAAAGCGUAAUAGCUCACUGGUCGAGUCGGCCUGCGCGGAAGAUGUAACGGGGCUAAACCAUGCACCGAAGCUGCGGCAGCGACACUAUGUGUUGUUGGGUAGGGGAGCGUUCUGUAAGCCUGUGAAGGUGGCCUGUGAGGGUUGCUGGAGGUAUCAGAAGUGCGAAUGCUGACAUAAGUAACGAUAAAGCGGGUGAAAAGCCCGCUCGCCGGAAGACCAAGGGUUCCUGUCCAACGUUAAUCGGGGCAGGGUGAGUCGACCCCUAAGGCGAGGCCGAAAGGCGUAGUCGAUGGGAAACAGGUUAAUAUUCCUGUACUUGGUGUUACUGCGAAGGGGGGACGGAGAAGGCUAUGUUGGCCGGGCGACGGUUGUCCCGGUUUAAGCGUGUAGGCUGGUUUUCCAGGCAAAUCCGGAAAAUCAAGGCUGAGGCGUGAUGACGAGGCACUACGGUGCUGAAGCGACAAAUGCCCUGCUUCCAGGAAAAGCCUCUAAGCAUCAGGUAACAUCAAAUCGUACCCCAAACCGACACAGGUGGUCAGGUAGAGAAUACCAAGGCGCUUGAGAGAACUCGGGUGAAGGAACUAGGCAAAAUGGUGCCGUAACUUCGGGAGAAGGCACGCUGAUAUGUAGGUGAAGCGACUUGCUCGUGGAGCUGAAAUCAGUCGAAGAUACCAGCUGGCUGCAACUGUUUAUUAAAAACACAGCACUGUGCAAACACGAAAGUGGACGUAUACGGUGUGACGCCUGCCCGGUGCCGGAAGGUUAAUUGAUGGGGUUAGCGGUAACGCGAAGCUCUUGAUCGAAGCCCCGGUAAACGGCGGCCGUAACUAUAACGGUCCUAAGGUAGCGAAAUUCCUUGUCGGGUAAGUUCCGACCUGCACGAAUGGCGUAAUGAUGGCCAGGCUGUCUCCACCCGAGACUCAGUGAAAUUGAACUCGCUGUGAAGAUGCAGUGUACCCGCGGCAAGACGGAAAGACCCCGUGAACCUUUACUAUAGCUUGACACUGAACAUUGAGCCUUGAUGUGUAGGAUAGGUGGGAGGCUUUGAAGUGUGGACGCCAGUCUGCAUGGAGCCGACCUUGAAAUACCACCCUUUAAUGUUUGAUGUUCUAACGUGGGCCCCUUACCGGGGUUGCGGACAGUGUCUGGUGGGUAGUUUGACUGGGGCGGUCUCCUCCUAAAGAGUAACGGAGGAGCACGAAGGUUGGCUAAUCCUGGUCGGACAUCAGGAGGUUAGUGCAAUGGCAUAAGCCAGCUUGACUGCGAGCGUGACGGCGCGAGCAGGUGCGAAAGCAGGUCAUAGUGAUCCGGUGGUUCUGAAUGGAAGGGCCAUCGCUCAACGGAUAAAAGGUACUCCGGGGAUAACAGGCUGAUACCGCCCAAGAGUUCAUAUCGACGGCGGUGUUUGGCACCUCGAUGUCGGCUCAUCACAUCCUGGGGCUGAAGUAGGUCCCAAGGGUAUGGCUGUUCGCCAUUUAAAGUGGUACGCGAGCUGGGUUUAGAACGUCGUGAGACAGUUCGGUCCCUAUCUGCCGUGGGCGCUGGAGAACUGAGGGGGGCUGCUCCUAGUACGAGAGGACCGGAGUGGACGCAUCACUGGUGUUCGGGUUGUCAUGCCAAUGGCACUGCCCGGUAGCUAAAUGCGGAAGAGAUAAGUGCUGAAAGCAUCUAAGCACGAAACUUGCCCCGAGAUGAGUUCUCCCUGACUCCUUGAGAGUCCUGAAGGAACGUUGAAGACGACGACGUUGAUAGGCCGGGUGUGUAAGCGCAGCGAUGCGUUGAGCUAACCGGUACUAAUGAACCGUGAGGCUUAACCUUACAACGCCGAAG